rnacentral:rRNA from 1 species
AAACUUAAAGGAAUUGACGGGGCCCGCACAAGCAGUGGAGUAUGUGGUUUAAUUCGAAGCAACGCGAAGAACCUUACCAGGGCUUGACAUCCCUUGAAGCAGCUAGAGAUAGCUGUGUCCUUCGGGACAAGGAGACAGGUGGUGCAUGGUUGUCGUCAGCUCGUGUCGUGAGAUGUUGGGUUAAGUCCCGCAACGAGCGCAACCCUCGACCUUAGUUGCCAGCAUUCAGUUGGGCACUCUAAGGUGACUGCCGGCUAAAAGUCGGAGGAAGGUGGGGAUGACGUCAAAUCAUCAUGCCCCUUAUGACCUGGGCUACACACGUGCUACAAUGGGCGGUACAAAGGGUCGCGAACCCGCGAGGGGGAGCCAAUCCCAAAAAGCCGCUCUCAGUUCGGAUUGCAGGCUGCAACUCGCCCUCAUGAAGCUGGAAUCCGUAGUAAUCGCGUUUCAACAGAACGCGGUGAAUACGUCCCUGCUCCUU